AUUAAAACACUGGUUCCCUGUAUGAUCACUGAAGUUAAGCAACAUCGAGCCUGGUCAAUAGCUAGAUGGGUGACCACAUUGGAAUAUCAGGUGCUGUAG